rnacentral:rRNA from 1 species
UACAGAGGGUGCAAGCGUUGUUCGGAAUUAUUGGGCGUAAAGAGCGUGUAGGCGGCCAGGUAGGUCUGCUGUGAAAACUCGAGGCUCAACCUCGAGACGCCGAUGGAAACCAUCUGGCUAGAGUCCGGAAGAGGAGAGUGGAAUUCCCGGUGUAGCGGUGAAAUGCGCAGAUAUCGGGAAGAACACCCGUGGCUAAGGCGGCUCUCUAGUACGGUACUGACGCUGAGACGCGAAAGCGUGGGGAGCGAACAGG